rnacentral:ncRNA from 1 species
AUUAAAUUUUUUAUGGUUUAAUAAUUUAUUAUAAGUUUAUUUUACAUAUAAAUUUUAGUGUUAAUUAAUAAUUAUUUUAAUAAUAAAUUAAUUUUGUAGUAAUUAAUAUUAAAUUAUUUAAGAAAUUAAGAUUUAGUAAUACUUGAAUUAAUAACAAAUUUUGUGCCAGCAGUUGCGGUUAAACAAAAGUUAAAUUAAAUUUUAUUAGUAAUUAAUAAAUAAAUUUAUUUUAUAAUAUAAAUUUUAAAUUAUUAAGUGAAAUUUUAAUUUAAUUAAAAUUUAUGAUUUAAUUUAUGAUUUAAUAAAUUUUUAAAAAAACUAGGAUUAGAUACCCUAUUAUUAAAAUUUAAAUUUAUAAAACUAAAAUAGUAGAUAAUUAUUUAUUGAAACUUAAAUAAUUUGGCGGUAUUUUAGUUCAUUUAGAGGAAUCUGUUUAAUAAUUGAUAAUCCACGAAUAAAUUUACUUAAUUUAUAAUUUUGUAUAUCGUUGUUAAAAAAAUAUUUUUAAAAAAAAAUAAUAUUUAAAAAUUAAAAUUUUAAUUUAAAUCAGAUCAAGAUGCAGAUUAUAAUUAAGAAUAUAAUGGAUUACAAUAAAUUUAUUUAAAUGAAUAUUAAUUUGUAAUAAUUAAUUGAAGGUGGAUUUAAAUGUAAUUUUAUUUAAUUUAUUAAAAUGAUUUAAAAUUAAAAUAUGUACAUAUUGCCCGUCACUUUCAUAUAUAAUAAGUUGAAAUAAGUCGUAACAAAGUAGAGGUACUGGAAAGUGUUUCUAGAAAGAA